UACGUAGGGUGCAAGCGUUGUCCGGAAUUAUUGGGCGUAAAGAGCUCGUAGGCGGUUUGUUGCGUCGGCUGUGAAAUCCCGAGGCUCAACCUCGGGUCUGCAGUCGAUACGAGCAAACUAGAGUGUUGCAGGGGAGACUGGAAUUCCUGGUGUAGCGGUGAAAUGCGCAGAUAUCAGGAGGAACACCGAUGGCGAAGGCAGGUCUCUGGGCCACUACUGACGCUGAGACGCGAAAAGCGUGGGGGAGCAAACAGG
rnacentral:rRNA from 1 species